AUUCGUCAUCUACUGCGGCCUGCGGUUCGUGGCCGCUUUUGGGAUGGCCGGCAUCUUUCUGAGUUCACUGACACUGAUGGUGGAGUGGACCACGACCAGCAGGAGGGCGGUCACCAUGACGGUGGUGGGAUGUGCCUUCAGCGCAGGCCAGGCGGCGCUGGGCGGCCUGGCCUUUGCCCUGCGGGACUGGAGGACUCUCCAGCUGGCAGCAUCAGUGCCCUUCUUUGCCAUCUCCCUGAUAUCCUGGUGGCUGCCAGAAUCCGCCCGGUGGCUGAUUAUUAAGGGCAAACCAGACCAAGCACUUCAGGAGCUCAGAAAGGUGGCCAGGAUAAAUGGCCACAAGGAGGCCAAGAACCUGACCAUAGAGGUGCUGAUGUCCAGCGUGAAGGAGGAGGUGGCCUCUGCAAAGGAGCCGCGGUCGGUGCUGGACCUGUUCUGCAUGCCCGUGCUCCGCUGGAGGAGCUGCGCCAUGCUGGUGGUGAAGUACGCCGUCCUGGUGUCCCUCCCCAAGGCAGGGCUGGGACAGGCAGGAGGCAGAGCUGGGACAGGCAGGAGGCAGGGCGUCCAGGGGAAACAGCACCCGCAGGCCUCAAGGGGGUGCAUUUCUGUCUGGGACAGGACGCAGACAGCCCCAGGAGGCAGGAGUCCUGGCAGGCAGCAGAGAGGGACUAUGCACAGGUGGGAUCUGGAGGCUGCCAUCUGCAGGAAGCCAGAGGAAAAGGCAGCUCUAGGCUGGGGGUCCCAGGGUCCCAGGGAGGUCCCAAGACAGAGGCAGAGCCAGGGUCCCUAGAGCCAGGGGACCAGCCACGGCCGAGGAGUACCACUGUGUGUCAUCGUUAGAGACUUACCACUUUCCUAGAGACCAUGGCCAUGCUCCUAGAGGGUGAACCUGCAUUCGCUGACCCCUCCAUGCAACCCCACUUCACUGAUGGGGAAAGAGGAUCCCAGAGGGGUAAGGAACAAGCCCAAGAUAAUAGAGCCUGCAUUGGAACUGGGCUGAGCUAGCACUUGGCUUACUGGCACUGUCACUGCCAGGGUCCGCACGACCAGACCCUGGCCCUCCCCGGGACCCAAGGUCAUCUGGGCCCAGGAAAAGGCCCUUAAAACAAAUUCAGUUCCGGUGACAUCCAAAAGAGCAUAUUAAAAAGCAAGGACCAGUCAGGCGCGGUGGCUGAAGCCUGUAAUCCCUCACUUUGGGAGGCUGAGGCAGGAGGAUCGCUUGAGCCCAGGAGUUCAAGACCAGCCUGGGUAACAUAGUAAGACCCUCUCAUCGCUACUAAAAAUCAAAAAAUGAGGCAGGAGGAUCACUGGAGCCCAGGAGAUAGAGGCUGCACUGAGCUGAGAUUGUGCUACUGCACUCCAGCCUGGGCGACAGGGCAAGAUUCCGUCAAAGGAAAAAAAAAAAAAAAAAACCCAAGGACCUGGUUUGAUUGGGACUUUUAUCUUGAAAUAAAACUGAAGCUUAGGAAAACGUUUCUUUUAUGCUAUAUUUAACCACAUAUGGGUUAUGAUGGCAAAUACUUGCUACAUCUUAGAACAAAGAUAGAUCAAAUGCCUUUUUUUAAAAACUUCAAUUUUUUUCUGAUAAAUCAGAAGGAGUGUUCUCGCUGCAAACACCCGGGACCAGUUUUUUUUUUUUUUUUUUUUUUUUAAACCUUCCAGGAUUCCUCAGUUCUCCCAGGGGCCGGCUCUGCAACCUUUGUUAUUCAAAUCAGAGGCUUUGAAGCUGGUGACCUUGUGGGUUUUCCUGUCUUGUUAACCCAGUUGUUAUCUGUCCAAGGCUCCAGUGUCGGCCGCUUUGAGCACCAGCCCAGUGACUCUCACGUCACUCACAUAAACUUCAUGAAACACC
rnacentral:sRNA from 1 species